UUUAUAAUGUUCAAGCCAGUACUUUGCCCAGCAACAGUCUUCCAUAGGAACAGAGUCACAGUCUCUUGCACCAAUCACGUUAAAGGUCGACUAUCACAAGUUGCUCCAGACUUUCUGGCUCUGGCUCUGUUGCUGACCCAGCUAUCUGCUGCCUAGGAGAUGAACGUUCUUUUUUUUUCAUAUACCAUGACAGAUUCCUCUCUCUUC